CGCUACCAUCUCAUCCGAGAGAUCGUGGAUCGAGGUGACGUCGACCUUCAGAAGAUCGAUGGGAAGGAGAACCUGCCGACCCAUUCACUAAAGCCAUUGCAGUGAAGGAGUUCAACGACUACAAGUCGAAGAUGGGUAUUAGAUACUGCACCGAUUGGCUUUAGGCCAAGUGGAAGAUUGUUGGGAAUAGUGUCCCAAAGCCAAUCGUCAGUCUGUU
rnacentral:lncRNA from 1 species